GAUGAACGCUGGCGGCGUGCCUAAUACAUGCAAGUCGAGCGAACGGACGAGAAGCUUGCUUCUCUGACGUUAGCGGCGGACGGGUGAGUAACACGUGGAUAACCUACCCAUAAGACUGGGAUAACUUCGGGAAACCGGAGCUAAUACCGGAUAAUAUUUUGAACCGCAUGGUUCAAAAGUGAAAGACGUCUUUCUGUCAAUUAUAGAUGGACACGCGCUUCAUUAGCUAGGUGGUAAGGUAACGGCUUACCAAGGCAACGAAGCAUAGCCGACCUGAAGAGGUGAUCGGCCACACUGUAACUGAGACACGGUCCAGACUCCUACGGGAGGCAGCAGUAGGGAAUCUUCCGCAAUGGACGAAAACCUGACGGAGCAACGCCGCGUGAGUGAUGAAGGUCUUCGGAUCGUAAAACUCUGUUAUUAGGGAAGAACAUAUGUGUAAGUAACUGUGCACAUCUUGACGGUACCUAAUCAGAAAGCCACGGCUAACUACGUG
rnacentral:rRNA from 1 species